GAUGAACGCUAGCGGCAGGCUUAAUACAUGCAAGUCGAGGGGCAGCACAGAUAGCAAUAUUGGGUGGCGACCGGCAAACGGGUGCGGAACACGUACACAACCUUCCUUUUAGUGUGGGAUAGCCCAGAGAAAUUUGGAUUAAUACCACAUAGUAUAUUGGAGUGGCAUCACUUUGAUAUUAAAGAUUUAUCGCUAAAAGAUGGGUGUGCGUAUGAUUAGGUAGUUGGUAGAGGUAACGGCUCACCAAGCCUUCGAUCAUUAACUGGUGUGAGAGCACGACCAGUCACACGGACACUGAGACACGGGCCCGACUCCUACGGGAGGCAGCAGUAAGGAAUAUUGGUCAAUGGACGGAAGUCUGAACCAGCCAUGCCGCGUGAAGGAUGACGGCCCUCUGGGUUGUAAACUUCUUUUAUGUGGGACGAAAAAGGGCCAUUUUUGGUCAACUGACGGUACCAUAGGAAUAAGCACCGGCUAACUCCGUGCCAGCAGCCGCCGUAA
rnacentral:rRNA from 1 species